GUGCCAUGGCUUGGCAGCCUGCCUGCAAUCACUGGAUUGUCAGGAGUUCUUUCCCUCCCUUCCCCCAUUGCAAUGACAUGGCUGCGGGGGACCAUUGAUUUCUGCUCUCCACGUUGAAUAAAUGGAGGCAAGAAUAAGUAUGUGAGGCAGCUGGUGAGGAGCUUUCUGGUCAUUUCAAGGUUGGGAAGCAUUCUUUGGGGAGCGAUGCAUCAUUGUUACACGGCCUCAAAGCAAAAAAGGCAGCUGCAUCCAGACCCUGUGACAAAGGGUACCAAGCAGCAUCUUGAAUGUACCAGCCUAGAGGUGUCUGAAAAACUCCC